GGGGACGUAGCUCAGUGGCAGAGCAUUCUCCUCGCCACCCACUUGCCCCACUGAGGGGCCGAACGGUGAGGGUUAUUGGUCGCGGGUUCGAAUCCCGUCGUCUCCA
rnacentral:tRNA from 1 species